CUGGUGUGUGAUGCUUCCCUCCCUGUGUCCAUGUGCUCUCAUCGUUCAGCUUCCACUUAGAGGGCAGUUCCUGGAAGCUCCACCCACCACCUUCCACUCACGUCUCAUUGGUUAGGAAGAGCUCCAGAUGGGCAUGCUACCUUCUGGGGAAUCUGAGCAGUGAGAUGAAUACUUCUAUACUGAGCUAACAUAUCUUCGCAAAGAUUAAGCAAGAAAUUGAUUGAAGAGCAUCUAUACUCAUGUCUGACACAUGGUGCAGAGACUACAAGCAAAUUUUAGUUUUCCCUAAAACACAAGUGCUGAAAUAAAAGGUGUAGAAAGUACUGCAGGAGGAAGAAAGAUAAUGUACAUAAUCUUUUGUGGGGAGGAGGCAGAAGAAGUGAUGAGAGAUUAUUUGAAUUAUGUGAAUCCUAGGAAAAGAAUCAUAGACAAAAAGUGGCACCGGUGGUGGGGCAGAGGACUUGGUGUAGAUGGAGAACUGAUGAGUAAUACGUAGACUAGGCCAGGCAUGGUGGCUUAUGCCUGUAAUCCCAGCACUUUGGGAGGCCGAGGCAUGUGGAUCAUCUGAGGUGAGGAGUUCGAGACAAGGCUGGCCAACAUGGAGAAACCCCGUCUCUACUAAAAAUACAAAAAUUAGCUGGGUGUGGUGGUGCGCAGUGUAAUCCCAGCUACUCAGGAGGCUGAGGCAGGAGAAUUGCUUGAACAAUUCUCAAGGGAGGUGGAGGUUGCAGUGAGCUGAGAUCGCACCACUGCAGUCCAGCCUGGGAGACAGAGCAAGACUCCGUCUCAGAAAAAAAAAAAAAAGAUGUAGACUAACAAGGUAUUCUUCUGCAAUUCAAUUUUUACUUUCUAAGUGAGGAGUAGACAGUGGUAUGCCAUGGGAGCUGGUUAAGGAAAACUUAAAGCAUGGGUUUCUGCUUUUGAGUCUUUAAAGAAAGAGAACUCUUGGAGACAUGUUGAAUGUUGAGUGAUGAAAUUGAAUUUGGAGAAAAGUAAGUCAGUGAUACCAAUUUAUUCAUUUGUUAGAAAUUGAUUUGUCUCCCUCAAAAAGAUAUGUUGAAUUCCUCAUCUCUAGUACUUGUGAAUGUGACCUCAUUUGAAAAUAGGGUCUUUGCAGAUGUAAUUAAGAUGUAAGUUAAGACAAGGUCAUAGUGCAGUAGGGUGGGAACUUAAUCCUGUAUGACUAGUGUCUUUAUAAGAAGAGGAGGCUGGGCAUGGUGGCUUAUCCCCACAAUCCCAGUA
rnacentral:lncRNA from 10 species